rnacentral:rRNA from 1 species
GACAGAGGGGGCAAGCGUUGCUCGGAAUCACUGGGCGUAAAGGGCGCGUAGGCGGGAUGGCAAGUCAGUCGUGAAAUCUCUCGGCUCAACCGAGAAACGUCGGCUGAUACUGCCGUUCUUGAGGGAUGCAGAGGAGACUGGAAUUCCCGGUGUAGCGGUGAAAUGUGUAGAGAUCGGGAGGAACACCGGUGGCGAAGGCGACUACCUGGCCUGUUCUUGACGCUGAGGCGCGAAAGCUAGGGGAGCAAACGGG